UAGGGACCCAUAGAGACCCUAUAUAGACCUAUAGAUAGCCCAUAGAGACCCAUAGAGACCCUAGAGAUACAUAGAGACCCUAUAGGGACCUAUAGAUAGCCCAUAGAGACCCAUACAUACCCCAUAGAGAC